rnacentral:rRNA from 1 species
CCUACGGGAGGCUGCAGUGGGGAAUAUUGGACAAUGGGCGAAAGCCUGAUCCAGCCAUGCCGCGUGUGUGAAGAAGGCCUUCGGGUUGUAAAGCACUUUCAGUGGGGAAGAAAGCCUUGGGGCUAAUACCCUCGAGGAAGGACAUCACCCACAGAAGAAGCACCGGCUAACUCCGUGCCAGCAGCCGCGGUAAUACGGAGGGUGCGAGCGGUAAUCGGAAUUACUGGGCGUAAAGCGCGCGUAGGCGGUCUGAUAAGCCGGUUGUGAAAGCCCCGGGCUCAACCUGGGAACGGCAUCCGGAACUGUCAGGCUAGAGUGCAGGAGAGGAAGGUAGAAUUCCCGGUGUAGCGGUGAAAUGCGUAGAGAUCGGGAGGAAUACCAGUGGCGAAGGCGGCCUUCUGGACUGACACUGACGCUGAGGUGCGAAAGCGUGGGUAGCAAACAGGAUUAGAUACCCUUGUAGUC